GACGAACGCUGGCGGCGUGCUUAACACAUGCAAGUCGAACGGAAAGGCCCUGCUUUUGUGGGGUGCUCGAGUGGCGAACGGGUGAGUAACACGUGAGUAACCUGCCCUUGACUUUGGGAUAACUUCAGGAAACUGGGGCUAAUACCGGAUAGGAGCUCCUGCUGCAUGGUGGGGGUUGGAAAGUUUCGGCGGUUGGGGAUGGACUCGCGGCUUAUCAGCUUGUUGGUGGGGUAGUGGCUUACCAAGGCUUUGACAGGUAGCCGGCCUGAGAGGGUGACCGGCCACAUUGGGACUGAGAUACGGCCCAGACUCCUACGGGAGGCAGCAGUGGGGAAUAUUGCACAAUGGGCGGAAGCCUGAUGCAGCAACGCCGCGUGCGGGAUGACGGCCUUCGGGUUGUAAGCCGCUUUCGCCUGUGACGAAGCGUGAGUGACGGUAAUGGGUAAAGAAGCACCGGCUAACUACGUG
rnacentral:rRNA from 1 species